CUGUUGCGGGCCAUCAUCUAGAAGAUCCAAAAUUUACUCCUCCAAAUCCUCAGACACUCAGAGCUGAACAUGUGGAAGAUGUUGGUUUCACCAACACAAGCUACCCUCGUGCGAUGACUGUACCACCAUCAUCAUCAUCAUCAUCAUCGUUCCCCGCCUAUGUUAGGAUCGUCCACUCAGAUCGGGCGUUGUUGAGCGUAGGGGUGCUGUUAAACUCUGAAACGGACAACGGGGCGAAUUUGGGUAUGUAUGUGUAUGUGUGGCUCCAGGAUUACCCGUCCUUGCCUGGGUCGCAUAACUCAUCCUAGUCUCUCUCUUUCGUGGCGUGUUGUUGCCCGAUAGUGGAUAGUGGAGAGUUGGUGGUGCGCGUUCGCGAUCAGAGGAGGGUGUACACACCAACGAGAUUCGGAUGGUUAGGUGAGGUGGCGAGAGGUGAGGUGGGGCCGCCCGGCACACCGCCACGGCGCAGUUGCUACUCAGACACGGGGAUGCUCGCAAUGCCUCUAUCAAAGACGCGUCGCACUGUGUUGUUAUGUGUUGUAAUAGUAAUUAUUUCAUUGAAAAAUUAAUUUUACCGUUAACAAACCUUGAUACGCAACAAUAUUGUCUGUGUAAUCAUCCACAUAUUGCCGAAGAAAAUAUACAUCUUUAUUAUUAUUAAAACAAAGUCUGACGAACAACUCAAAUUGAUUUAUUAUAUUAAUAUCGUUAAUUCGACCAAACUGAAAAACAUCCUUGUUUUUAUGUCACGGAUUUUUUAAAAUAAUUAUUUUUAUCUAAAUUUGUAACGACGAAGUGAUAUUUGAAGAAGAAAAAAAAAGAAAAAAUACAAAAAAAAAAUACAAACCAAAAAAAGAAGAGUGCGAAACUAAAAUACAAAAGAAGAAACAAAUUUGAAGCAUUGCCUUAGAAAAAAUUAAUUUUUAAAACAAAAAUAAUAAUUGAGGAACAAAGGGAGGAUUUAUUGAAACAAAAAAAGAUAAAUUUUAUUAAUGGCGUUGAAAAAAAAGUAACCUUUAGACAAAUUGUAAAGAUACUAAAGUAUAUUUUUAACAAGUUUUGAAAAGUUUAGAUUUUAAAGGAAAACACGUACGUUUAAAUGACGAAUUAUUUAAUACAUUAAUUAAACAUUUAAAUUUAAAGAAACGAGAAGAAUAAUUUAAAUAAAAUUUUAACAAAUAAGAAUCUUUAUAACUAAAAAUGUGAUCUAAAAGUCGUUGCUACCAAGAGAGCCUUAUGUCCUUGUUUCAGUUAGUUCGGUUCAAAACCUUCGAGCGGGAGACGCAUUGCAGCGGAAGAUUCCCGCGUAGGAGAGGAAGACUGGACAAAGCGGAAGAAGCAGAUUAAGACGAGGGAAGUCAAAACUAAGAGGAGAAGAAGGAUUAGUCGCUAAGUCGCAAAUACUUGGGGGGUGAAGAAA